rnacentral:tRNA from 6 species
GCUCCCAUCGUCUAGAGGCCUAGGACACCGCCCUCUCAAGGCAGUAACACGGGUUCGAAUCCCGUUGGGAGUACCA